rnacentral:rRNA from 1 species
GACGAACGCUGGCGGCGUGGAUUAGGCAUGCAAGUCGAACGGUAUCAUCCUUUCGGGGGUGAGAGAGUGGCGAACUGGUGAGUAACACGUAGGUUAUCUACCCUCAAGACGGGGACAACCCAGGGAAACUUGGGCUAAUACCGGAUGUGAGCAACUUUUAGUUGUUUGAAAGGUGGCGUAAGCUGUCGCUUGGGGAUGAGCCUGCGUCCUAUUAGUUAGUUGGUGAGGUAACGGCUCACCUAGGCAAUGAUAGGUAGGCGGCCUUAACGGGUGGUCGCCCACACUGGGAUUGAGAUACGGCCCAGACUCCUACGGGAGGCAGCAGUCGAGAAUAGUCUACAAUGGUCGGAAGACUGAUAGUGCGACGCCGCGUGAACGAUGAAUCCCUUCGGGGUUAAAGUUCUUUUAUAUGUGAGCAGUGCUUCUUAUAUUAACAGUAUGGGGAGUAGAGAUAUUAGCAUAUGAAUAAGCAACGGGCUAACUCCGUGCCAGCAGCCGCGGUAAA